UUGACCUCAAAUCAGGUAGGAUUACCCGCUGAACUUAAGCAUAUCAAUAAGCGGAGGAAAAGAAACUAACAAGGAUUCC
rnacentral:rRNA from 1 species